UUUAGUUUAGGAUUUAAGGUUUGAAUUAAGGUUUGGUUUAGGAUUUGGUUAGGGUUUUAUUUAAGAUUUAGGAUUUGGUUAAGAUUUGGUUUAAAGUUUAGGAUUUGUAUUAGGAUUUAAUUAGGAUUUGGUUUAGGAUUUAGGGUUUGUAUUAGGAUUUGGUUAGGAUUUGAUUUAGGAUUUGGUUUAGAAUUUGGUUGGGAUUUGGUUUAGAAUUUGGUUGAGAUUUGGUUUAAGAUUUGUUUAGGGUUUGAUUUAGGGUUUAGGAUUUUAUUACGAUUUAAGAUUUAAUUAGAUUUGGCUUGAAGUUUGAAUGAAUUUCAAUAGGAUUUUAAGUAGAAUUAAAUUAGGAUUGAGUUGAGAUGUAUUUGAGUGAUAAUUGUGAUUCUUCUAAUAUUUCUUUAAGAAUUCUUAUUGUUUGUUAGAAAUUUCUUUGAGUUUUUUUGAAUUUGAUUAAGCUUGAUUA
rnacentral:lncRNA from 1 species